UACCAGCACCCCGAGUGGUCGGGACGAUUAUUGGGCCUAAAGCAUCCGUAGCCGGCCUUACAAGUCCUCCGUUAAAUCCAGCUGCUUAACAGAUGGGCUGCGGAGGAUACUAUAAGACUAGGAGGCAGGAGAGGCAAGCGGUACUCAGUGGGUAGGGGUAAAAUCCGUUGAUCCAUUGAAGACCACCAGUGGCGAAGGCGGUUGCCUGGAGCUUUGCUGACGCUGAGGCGCGAAAGCGUGGGGAGCGAUCCGG
rnacentral:rRNA from 1 species